GCGGGCAGCUACACAUGCAAGUCGACGGUAACAGGAUAGCUUGCUAUCGCUGACGAGUGGCGGACGGGUGAGUAAUACUUAGGGAUCUGCCUCUGUGUGGGGGAUAACUAUUGGAAACGAUAGCUAAUACCACAUAAUGUCUACGGACCAAAGCGGGCUUCGGCUCGUGCGCAGAGAGGAACCUAAGCGAGAUUAGCUAGUUGGUGAGGUAAAGGCUCACCAAGGCGACGAUCUCUAGCUGUUCUGAGAGGAAGAUCAGCCACACUGGAACUGAGACACGGUCCAGACUCCUACGGGAGGCAGCAGUGGGGAAUAUUGCACAAUGGGGGAAACCCUGAUGCAGCCAUGCCGCGUGUGUGAAGAAGGCCUUCGGGUUGUAAAGCACUUUCAGUUGUGAGGAAAGUUUAGUAGUUAAUACCUGCUAGAUGUGACGUUAGCAACAGAAGAAGCACCGGCUAACUCCGUGCCAGCAGCCGCGGUAAUACGGAGGGUGCGAGCGUUAAUCGGAAUUACUGGGCGUAAAGCGCACGCAGGCGGUCUGUUAAGCUAGAUGUGAAAGCCCCGCGCUCAACGUGGGAGGGUCAUUUAGAACUGGCAGACUAGAGUCUUGGAGAGGGGGGUGGAAUUCCAGGUGUAGCGGUGAAAUGCGUAGAGAUCUGGAGGAACAUCAAUGGCGAAGGCAACUCCCUGGCCAAAGACUGACGCUCAUGUGCGAAAGUGUGGGUAGCGAACAGGAUUAGAUACCCUGGUAGUCCACACCGUAAACGCUGUCUACUAGCUGUUUGUGAAUUU
rnacentral:rRNA from 1 species